UACGGAGGGAGCUAGCGUUUUUCGGAAUUACUGGGCGUAAAGCGCGCGUAGGCGGUUAAUUAAGUUGAAAGUGAAAGCCCAAGGCUUAACCUUGGAAUUGCUUUCAAAACUGAUUAACUAGAGUGUGGUAGGGGAUGAUGGAAUUCCUGGUGUAGAGGUGAAAUUCUUAGAUAUCAGGAGGAACACCGGUGGCGAAGGCGGUCAUCUGGGCCACAACUGACGCUGAGGCGCGAAAGCGUGGGGAGCAAACAGG
rnacentral:rRNA from 1 species